rnacentral:lncRNA from 1 species
CAUCUUCCGCUCAUCGUUCAAUUAACAGAUCUGCGACUCCGGCAAUUCAGUCAAAACAGAUUCGCGUCUCCGGCGAUCUGAUUCCGGUGAUCAUCGUUCAUCAUCCUCUUGCGCUCAUCGUUCAUCACAACAAAUCUGCGGCUCACGGUAGAUCUGGUGUUUUAUCUGAGUUCAGUUUUGAAUCCGGUUAGGUUUAGCGAUUUCAACCUCACUUCUUCUAUUCUUCGUCUUCACCCCAUCUACUAGAGAAUUCGUCUGCAGAUAUUUGUUAAGAAAGCUGAGACGGCUAAAAAUGAGAAGAAUAGGGCUUCGGUUGUGGCAAUUAAUGCUGAGAUUCGACGGACGAAGGCGAAGUUGCUGGAAGAAGUUCCUAAGUUGCAGAGAUUGGCUAUGAAGAAGGGCCCGGGUCUGUAUUAUGUAGACAGCGAAGGAGAACGCUGUUCUCAGUCGGGUCUGGUUCACCAUAUGCUUAUGGUGUACUAG